rnacentral:misc_RNA from 1 species
AAAGUCGUAACAAGGUUUCCGUAGGUGAACCUGCGGAAGGAUCAUUAACGAGCGCUCUUGCCCUCUGUGGCAGAACCUCCCACCCUGUGCAUACCGACCCUUGUUGCUUUGGCAGGCCCGUCCCCUCGGGGACCGCCGGCGCCCCUGCGGCGCGGGCCAGCGCCUGCCAGAGACCUACCAAACUCUGCCAUAACAUGUCGUCCGAGUCGAUUGCAAAAUCGUUAAAACUUUCAACAACGGAUCUCUUGGUUCUG